GCUGACGAGUGGCGGACGGGUGAGUAAUGUCUGGGAAACUGCCUGAUGGAGGGGGAUAACUACUGGAAACGGUGGCUAAUACCGCAUAACGUCGCAAGACCAAAGAGGGGGACCUUCGGGCCUCUUGCCAUCAGAUGUGCCCAGAUGGGAUUAGCUUGUUGGUGAGGUAACGGCUCACCAAGGCGACGAUCCCUAGCUGGUCUGAGAGGAUGACCAGCCACACUGGAACUGAGACACGGUCCAGACUCCUACGGGAGGCAGCAGUGGGGAAUAUUGCACAAUGGGCGCAAGCCUGAUGCAGCCAUGCCGCGUGUAUGAAGAAGGCCUUCGGGUUGUAAAGUACUUUCAGCGGGGAGGAAGGUGUUGUGGUUAAUAACCACAGCAAUUGACGUUACCCGCAGAAGAAGCACCGGCUAACUCCGUGCCAGCAGCCGCGGUAAUACGGAGGGUGCAAGCGUUAAUCGGAAUUACUGGGCGUAAAGCGCACGCAGGCGGUCUGUCAAGUCGGAUGUGAAAUCCCCGGGCUCAACCUGGGAACUGCAUUCGAAACUGGCAGGCUUGAGUCUUGUAGAGGGGGGUAGAAUUCCAGGUGUAGCGGUGAAAUGCGUAGAGAUCUGGAGGAAUACCGGUGGCGAAGGCGGCCCCCUGGACAAAGACUGACGCUCAGGUGCGAAAGCGUGGGGAGCAAACAGGAUUAGAUACCCUGGUAGUCCACGCCGUAAACGAUGUCUACUUGGAGGUUGUGCCCUUGAGGCGUGGCUUCCGGAGCUAACGCGUUAAGUAGACCGCCUGGGGAGUACGGCCGCAAGGUUAAAACUCAAAUGAAUUGACGGGGGCCCGCACAAGCGGUGGAGCAUGUGGUUUAAUUCGAUGCAACGCGAAGAACCUUACCUGGUCUUGACAUCCACAGAACUUUCCAGAGAUGGACUGGUGCCUUCGGGAACUGUGAGACAGGUGCUGCAUGGCUGUCGUCAGCUCGUGUUGUGAAAUGUUGGGUUAAGUCCCGCAACGAGCGCAACCCUUAUCCUUUGUUGCCAGCGGU
rnacentral:rRNA from 1 species